GCGUCCACAAAGGAUUAUGGGUAAAAAUAAUAAAACGUGAAAGACGAGACGAAGAUGAGAAUGCAGUCACGUUAGGUUAGUUUAAUUUCAGUUGGAGGAAACGGUCCAGAAAGUGUCAGUCUGCCACAACCACAGCUAUUAAAUUACUUCAUAGGAAGCACGUAAAGUUAGAAAAGUUAACCUGUGACCUAGUGGCCUGACCCGAACAAGGGCCGGAGGGCGAGUGCGCUGCACAUGUGAAUGCUAUCAGGCCUCCGCCUGGAAAGUGCAUGAAAGGGAAGCCACCAGGGCAUUACAGCUGGCAGGAAAUCGUAAAAAGUCGUACUUCAGCUCUAACAAAUGCUCCCAUGCACGCUUAAUCUUCUAGUAAGCCUGUGAAUGGAAGUGUUUAAAUGUUUCCCCUGAUGACACGGCGAGAAUGUACAACUGGCUUUAUGAGACGAAGUUCCUGGCAGAAAAUGUUUGACUAAGAAGACGUGGACAAAUUCAUUUCAUAACCCUCCAGAAUAUUAAUACAGGCCGAUCUCUCAUUUGACAAGUUAAUCUCUUUAAGGAGAUUUCUGAUCAAAGAAAAUGUGAUUAAAGUCUUCUGCAUCACAUGCCA